UGGGGAAUUUUCCGCAAUGGGCGAAAGCCUGACGGAGUGACGCCGCGUGGGGGACGAAGGCCUUCGGGUCGUAAACCCCUGUCAGAGGGAAAGAAGGGUGUCGGCGCGAUAACCGCCGGCAUCUGACGGUACCUUCAGAGGAAGCCCCGGCCAACUCUGUGCCAGCAGCCGCGGUAAGACAGAGGGGGCAAGCGUUGCUCGGAAUCACUGGGCGUAAAGGGCGCGUAGGCGGGAUGGCAAGUCAGUCGUGAAAUCUCUCGGCUCAACCGAGAAACGUCGGCUGAUACUGCCGUUCUUGAGGGAUGCAGAGGAGACUGGAAUUCCCGGUGUAACGGUGAAAUGUGUAGAGAUCGGGAGGAACACCGGUGGCGAAGGCGGGUCUCUGGGCAUCUCCUGACGCUGAGGCGCGAAAGCGUGGGGAGCAAACGGG
rnacentral:rRNA from 1 species